ensembl:lncRNA
GCACAACUGCACAUCGCACACCUGCUGGUUGAAAAAACGUCCCCUGAAGACACACAGCCCGGAAACUGCAGACCCGGGCUCCGAGGCCUUUGUCUCAGCUCCGGAUGCUUGCUUUUCCCUUCUUCUGUGAGCUGCCCCUCUCCUUCGCUCUCCUCUCCCCGGCAGUUCCUCCUCCCCUCCGCUUCUCCAGGCUCCCAGGGGCCAGUCUGCUUCUCUCCCCUGUGCACCGGCGACCAGGGAGGGCAGAAGGCGGCAUCCGUCCUGUGCUGCGAGCCUCUUAGCCAGACAAGCCAGACACCCGGUGACCUCCCGGAAAGACCCGAAGGCCACAGUUCCUGUUGGGAGGAGAAAGCUGGCCAGCGCCCAACCUUAAGUGUCAUCUCCGCGCCCUCUGGCAGAAGCUGCUGCCCACAGGACACCCAGGGAGGACGGCAGGGCGACUGCUCCGCGUCUGAGCCCCCUGGGGUGCCAUGCCCACUGCUCAGACUCUGGUGCCCGCACCUCUGGGGAAUCAAACAUCUUUGUCCUGUCGUAAGCAGUUUUCUCCACAAACUCAAGAGGACCGUUCUCUGUGUCUAUUUUCUUCUUUCCUAAUUUAUCGGCCAGGGGCCUAUCCCAUUAGUGGCCUGCCUGCUGGCAUUAAGAUGAAGUGAAAAGCCAGAGAGUAGUGAACAAGCAAUCCCUCUGCCAGCAGAUGGCAGCACGGCACCACGAACCCGAUGCGCGCUGAGCGCUGGGGCGGAGUCGUGGGGAGGGUGUUAGGGGUGUGGAGUCCGCAGAGGGCAGGCGCGGGCAGGACCCCUGGAAGGAGGGUCGGCAGAGGGACUGGGAGAAGCAGGGCCCAGGCUCCAGAGGUCCUUCCCAGGAAGGAGUCGGCGCCCUCCUGUACAUCCUGCUGCAUGGAGUCCUACUGUCAAACCCUGUCACCUACUAUUUGGGUGAUCUUCGGAUCUGAAGUGAAGCAGCCAGGACUCAAAGUGGCAUGACGUCACAGGAGGUGGUUACCCGUCUAGGCCACAAGGCAGAUCCCGGCAGGUCCUAAUGGAUGAGAGCCUUAUGACCUCACGUAACCAUGAUUGUCUACUUAAAGAGACUUCCGGUACAGCAUAUUAAACCGCAGACUUCAACACCAGCAUCACUGGUUCCAGUCCAGCUGCUCCACUUCCAAUCCAACUCCCUGCUGAUGCACCUGAGAAGGCAGUGGAAGGUGGUCUCAGUGCUUAAGCCCCUGCCAUCCAUGGGGAAAACUUGGAUAGGGUUAACAGCCCCCACCAUCCCCACUUGUGGAGUGAACCAGCAGAUGGAAGGUCUUUCCUGUGGGGAGCAAUCCGGACUAGACUAAGUUACUCGAAUUAGGACUUAUUCUAUGCAUCUGCUCUCCCACAAUAUGGCGCUGGGAGAGAAGUAAACAGCUUCUGCACAGCUGCCUCCAGUUCAACCAAUUAACUGUAGGACUUGCUCCUGAUUGGAGAGCAGCGUACUCGGCGUGUGGGCAGCCGAGUUAGGAUUGGCAGAGGAGGACUAUAAAGGAGGAAAGAGACGGCAUGCACCGGGAACAUCUAUGGGGAACAUCUAAGGGGAACACCUGUGCAGCCCCCGAGAAGAGCCGGCCGGCGGUGUGCCGCUCCCCUGCGGAAGUGGGGAAUGUGGCCAGGGGGAACUGCCCUUCCACGGAGGUGGAAGGGAUAGUAGCCAACCCGGGAAGAACCAGCAGCAAACCCGGGGAGGGCCGAGCAGACGAAAGAACAGCGCAGGGUCCUGUGUCGUUCCUCCACGAAGAGGGGGAGCGACAUAAUGGUGCCGUGACUCGGAUAUGAAGCCUAGGCAGGGUUUAGUGUCGUUCCCCCAUGAAGACGGGGAGCGACAUAAUGGUGCCGUGACUCGGAUAUGAAGCCUAGGCAGGGUUUAGUGUCGUUCCUCCACGAAGAGGGGGAGCGACAUUUCCGUCUCUCCCUAUUGCUCUGUCUUUCAAAUUAACAGCACAAGUAUUUAUUUUUUUAAAUCUUAUCUCCAAGUAUAGUCUCACUGGGGGUUAAUACUUCAACUCAGAGAUUUAGGGCAGACACAAUUCAGCCCAUAAUGGAAGCACACAAGGAUACCUACUUGACAUGCUUGGUAUAGGAACACAUAGAGAUGUAUGAAAUGGUAACAAGUCACAGGACUCCCGCCACUGCAGUCAGUGACUAGAGACCUACCAGGGUCUUGCCAUACCUGUACGCCUUUUCCAGGUGGUGGUUUGAGUCUGGCUGCUCCGCUUCUGAUUCAGCUUCCUGCAAUGCACCUGGGAAAGCAGCAGAAGAUGGCCCAAGUGCUUGGGCCCCUGCUACUUAUGUGGGAGACUCAGAGGCAGCUCCAGGCUCUUGGCUUCUGGCUGGAUUCGACCUAGCUAUUGGGGCCUUUUGGGGAGUGAACCAAUGGAUAGAAGAUAUUUCUCUCUUUCCCUCUCUCUCCACUUCUCUCCCUCUUUCUCUGUCACUCUGCCUUUCAAAUAGCUAAUUAAACAAAUCUUUUUUAAAAAUUUGAGCAAACCAGGGCCCUGCACUGUGGCGUAAUGGAUAAAGCCGCUGCCUGCAGUACCGGCAUCCCAUAUGGAUGCCAGUUUGAGUCCCAGCUGCUCCAUUUCCAAUCUAGCUCUCUGCUAUGGCCUGGGAAAGCAGUAGAAGAUGGCCCUAGUCCUUGGGCCCCUGCUCCCACAUGGCAGACCCGGAAGACGCUCCUGGCUCCUGGCUUCAGAUCAGCACAGCUCUGGAUGUUGCAGCCAUCUGGGGAGUGAACCAGCAGAUGGAAGACCUCUCUCUCUCUCUCUCUCUCUCUCUCUCUCUCUCUGCCUUUUCUUCUUCUCUCUCUAUGUAACUCUGACUUUCAAAUAAAUAAAUAAAAUCUUAAAUAAAUAAAAAUCUA